AACGCCCCCAGCCCUGCCUCCCACCCAGUGCCAGAGCUGGAGGGGCCUCUGGGAAAGCCACCAGGACCUCCGCAACCUGCAUUCGCCUGCCCGGUGUGGGUUUGUCCGAUGCUGGCCCCUUGCCCCGGCAGUGGCUCAAUGCAGCCACGCCGAGUGGGCACUGCGAGCAGACCCCGAGCCUGACGGGACCCAUGGGCAUUGUAAGGGAAGAAGCCACCAAAAAAGGGACUAGCAUGACAACUACACAUGUGCACACACAGAUGCAUGCACGUGUGCAGCCAUUACAGCUUAGGUAAGGUCUCUCCCUUCACAGACCUGUACCAGCCUGGUUGAACUGUUUUGUGCUCAGGGAAAGGCAAGCAGGAAGCGGGGAAGAAACCCUCCCAGGAAAACAUGUCUUCCUCCCGAAUACCCUGCGCACUGCUUCCCUGCAAAGCUGCCCUGAACGUCAGCCGGAGCAGCAGCCUGGACCCAAUGCCCGCUGCUCUCCUGGCGCUUCACGCCAGCCUGUCCUUCAGACGCUGCCCUUGCUCAGCUCCGGACGGGGUCGAGGUUGCAUCUUGCUCCCACUGCCCGUGUCGCCGCGCCACCCCAGACCCCCGCUCGUGCCCACGUGCCGGACACGGGCCCCGACUGAAGCCUCGCAGCUUGGAAGCGACGGCAAGAGGUGCCCGUCUGAGCGGCUCAGCCAGGACACAGCUUCUGCCCUCCUCACGCGCAGCCUGGGGAGGGGUCAAGCGCAGCAGGGACCUCCUGACCCCCCGGCUCCCUGAACACCGCGGCUCGGGGGUCGCACUCCCGGCGGAGACGGGGAACGGCGCUCACCGUGCACGGUCGCGGCUCCCUCGGGGUCUGGUGUCCCCGGCGCUGCCAGCCCACGUCCUGCCCGAAUGGGCCUCCGGUGCCGUGCAGAAAAGCCGCGCUCCUUCCUCCAAGCCUCCUCGGCCCCUCUCCUCCCGUUUCUACGCCGGCUUCCCGACAGACUCGCCAGGCCCCGCGAGGCUCCCGGGCCUGCCCCAGCGUCGUCAAGGGCACCGCUGCAAAAUAAUGAGUCACAGGCGCUCGGUGCUGGCACGCUGGAGCACAGACGAGCCCUGCGCUGCAAGCUGCGGCGACAGGCAGUCAGGGCCGCAGGACCCGGGGCCUCCGGGCGCGGGGGCCCCUGUGUGCUGCGGGGGGGGUUAACACAUGGGUCCAAUCCCAGACUUGCUGAAGUCAACGCGAGUCGGCCACGAGGCCUCUGAUGGCAGUCAGGAAGAUUGCACCCAGAGAGCCCGAACUCCCUCGCGGCAUCCUCUUGCCUCCCUCCAUCAGCAGCCGCUGGGGAGAGCCCCUGCCAGGGCCUGGCUGCGGCUGGACAUCUCCCCGCGCGGACCUGGCAGACCCCACGUUCAGGGCAGGGCUCCCCCCCCGGCAGCUUCAGGCGGGUGUGCGGCGCUCCUCUGGCGUGUUGGAAAGUUCUCCCACACGUGCACGUACAUACCCACGUUGUCACACACAUGCGCAUGAAGAAUUGUCUCACACAUGCACAUACAUACCCACGUUGUCGCACACAUGC
rnacentral:lncRNA from 1 species